UACGAAGGGGGCUAGCGUUGUUCGGAAUUACUGGGCGUAAAGCGCACGUAGGCGGACCAAUGAGGUGAGGGUGAAAUCCCGGGGCUCAACCCCGGAACUGCCUUCAAUACUGUUGGUCUAGAGUCCGAGAGAGGUGAGUGGAAUUCCUAGUGUAGAGGUGAAAUUCGUAGAUAUUAGGAAGAACACCAGUGGCGAAGGCGGCUCACUGGCUCGGUACUGACGCUGAGGUGCGAAAGCGUGGGGAGCAAACAGG
rnacentral:rRNA from 1 species